GUUGGCACAGAUUACCUUGGAAGAACAUUUCCUGUGUGUAGCUGUAGUCUCUGAAGUUGUUUUUGAGGACAAGGACAUUUAGACUUUUGCGAGAAGGAUGUGGAACUGUCCCUCUGACUCCAUGGACGUGUGUAAAGGAACGAAUGAAUGUGCGAAUGCCUCCAUCUUGUCUCCCUGUUCCCUCUCUCUGUGCGUGCUGGAGAAGGCACCUCUCACCCCAGCCCACUUCAGGUGUGCUGGUUGCCUCCGCUGACGCUGGGGCUGCCCCUUUGUGGGGCGAGCACAACGGUCCCAGCGCCACCUAGCGGCCAGGGAGCCUGGGAGUUGCGCGUCUCGUUUCCCAGUCCAUGGGAUCCGCGGACUACGCCACCUCGCAGAGUUCCGACGCUCUGGCCACUGCCUCCGUCUGUUUUGUUCUCUCCGGUCCAGAGAGUGCGGAGACUUCCGGGGAGCGAACGUGUACGGGUUUCCAGAGUAACCCCGACAACAGGCAGUGAGAUGGCAGCUCUGAGCAGCUUGCUCUAGAACCAACUGUGCGUCCUCCACUUGGACCAAUACCAAUGGGAGAAGCUGGCCAAGCUCUGAGAAGCCGUGCACACCCAAGGAGCAGAGAUGCCAUGGCUUUUUGGUGGUAUUGGCAGGAUGAUACCAGAGGCUAAAUGAUAAGAGCUGAAUGAAUUCUCCAGGCUCUAGCUGAGAGUUCCUCCUGUCUCCUUCAUGAAGCUGAGCUGGAAGCCUCAGAGCCUUCGCAUCAGAGGUGCCAGAGUCCCUGAGCAGUGGCCCUGUCCUGCUGGCUUUGGAUUGUCUGCCUGCAAGUUGGAUGGAUGCAGCCAGAGGCUGGGGUGAUGAACACGGCUUCCACUGGUGGGCAAAGUGAACUGGGGACCAUCCCCUGUCCUCCACGGGUCUCAACUUUGUCUGCUGGUAAAGGAGAGGUUAGAACUAGAAGUCUCAGGCUUCUGUCCGGCCUGGGGAUUCAAACACCUUUCAGAGCUGAGUUCUAUCAAUUUUCCCGUGUUGGCCCAGGCAAACCACUUUAUUAGCAGCCUCUACAAGGUGCCAAAUCCUGGCUUCUUCCAGUCCCUGGUUCUCAGUGCAGUC
rnacentral:lncRNA from 1 species